GUACAAGCAGUGUAAGACCAAAAUUCAUUUGGGCUCACUUAAGGCCCACUCUGGGUGUGUAAGGCCAGAAGGGGUGUGGAGAUCAAGUUCAAUGGGCCUGAGUGGUGGACGGCCCACUACGAAAUUCUGGAGGUAAUGGAAUUCAUCAUUUCACUUCAACACAUCCGGACUUACCUCAUACCAUUCCUCUACUCUAAAUCUACCUUGCCGGAAAACGAAAACCUCCGCCGCACCGGAAAUCAUCACCAGCGGCGGAGGAGAUCCUAAAUUCACGUAACUUGUGCCCACAGAUUUGUCUCACUCUCCUCUACCUGAAUCUACCUAUCUCCUACUCCAAUUUCUUCGUUAUUGGCCUAACCGAAAAAAAUCAUUCUAAGAACCCUAGGUAAAAACUUUGAUUAAUUCCUCGUAUGGAGGUAAUCAAAUCCACAAGUUUGGGAUAAACACUCACCUAAUCAAGGCCUAUACAACGGUGACAAACGCGAGUCAAAUAUGAGAAUUCUCACGUACCUUCAACGUCGACGAUGGAGCAUACGGUGGACGUCGUUUGGAUAUUGAUCCGGUACAGUGUGAUUCGUAGAUCACGAAGAUUACUGAAGCAACAUACACCUCAAAGUAAAUAUUGAAUUCCGGUUUGGACGGAAGUAGCCAACGGACUCGUCGGAGAAGACGACUGACGCAACAGUGGCAUCAACAAAUGCGACUCUCAUAAUUUUGGUGUUGCCACUUCUCUUCGCCGACGUUUGCAUUUGGCUUGUGCGUUUGCAUCGUGUGGCUUUGUUCGUUGUCAUCGGAUUGUUUUGGCUUCGUCCCAUUGUAGGUUUACUGCACCUGCGUUUUGUUACCGUCGGAUUCACAUAGCCGUUUUCCGCAUUUCCAGUUGUUACUUCAUGUUGGUGUGUUGCUUUUGGUUGUGCAGCUUGUAGCUUGUAGUUUGGAUGCUGUUAUUGUUACGUUUCCGUCAAUGAUGUUUUCUGCUGAACAAAGUUCUUCCAAUGGUAUUUUUCCUUAUUUUAUUUGGAUAUGUUAUGGACUUGGGUAUUGUAUAUUGGUAAUUAAAUUUGGAUAAGCUAAAUGGAUUUUGGUUA